GGAAGAAGAAAGCGAUAAGGGUUUAGGGUUCUUGAUAGGGUUUUGUCGUGGGUGAAGAUUUUCUGCUGUAGUGGUGGAAGAAAUUGGGUUUCUUCGUCGAGGGUAGAACAUCGGUUCACGAUUUUGCCUCGUUAUAAUUUGGAAGGUUUUGUGCAUUCGUAGUUAAAGAUGUGAGAAUCCGUGGCAGUGGUAAUGGCAAUGAGGAUGCUAUGGACGGGUAUGGGGCUCACUAUGGAGCCAUCAGCUGAAGAAGUUUUAUUAUCUAGAUUUAUCUUUAUGUACAAGAACUUGUGUUUUGUUGACCCAUUUUGAUUAGGUUAGGCAGUGUAGUGCCUCCACUCUUUCGUUAUGAACAUGAUUGGGGUAUUGUGUACCUCCUUAUCCUUU